rnacentral:rRNA from 1 species
AGCUCCAAUAGCGUAUAUUAAUGUUGUUGCAGUUAAAAAGCUCGUAGUUGGAUUUCUGUUUAGUGCGGCCGGCCCGCCCCUCACGGGGUGUGCGCUGCGCUGUCACUGAUCAUCCUUGCGGAGAGCGGCUCGCGCAUUAAGUUGUGCGGGUCGGGAUCCGCAUCGUUUACUGUGAAAAAUUAGAGUGUUUAAAGCAGGCGUAAGCUGUGAAUACAUUAGCAUGGAAUAAUAAGAUAGGACUUUGGUGCUAUUUUGUUGGUUUGUACACCGAGGUAAUGAUUAAUAGGGACAGUUGGGGGUAUUAGUAUUCAGUUGUCAGAGGUGAAAUUCUUGGAUUUACGGAAGACUAACUACUGCGAAAGCAUUUACCAAGGAUGUUUUCA